AAACGACUCUCGGCAACGGAUAUCCCGGCUCUCGCAUCGAUGAAGAACGUAGCGAAAUGCGAUACUUGGUGUGAAUUGCAGAAUCCCGUGAACCAUUGAGUCUUUGAACGCAAGUUGCGCCCGAAGCCAUUAGGCUGAGGGCACGUCUGCCUGGGUGUCACGC
rnacentral:rRNA from 4 species